UACGAGGGGUGCAAACGUUAUUCGGAUUAACUGGGCGUAAAGGGUGUGUAGACGGAGCAUUAAGUUCGUUGUUAAAUCUCUCGGCUUAACCGGGAGCUUGCGAUGAAAACUAAUGUUCUUGAGGGUGAAAGAGAGAAGUGGAAUUCUCGGAGUAGCGGUAAAAUGCGUAGAUCUCGAGAGGAACACCGAUGGCGAAGGCAGCUUCUUGGUUCACUCCUGACGUUGAGACACGAAAGCGUGGGUAGCAAACAGGAUUAGAUACCCUGGUAGUCCACGCCGUAAACAAUGAUCACUGGAUGUCAGCUUUGCUUAGCAAGGUUGGUAUCGAAGCUAACGCGUUAAGUGAUCCGCCUGGGAAUUACGGUCGCAAGAUUAAAACUCAAAGGAAUUGACGGGGGUCCGCACAAGCGGUGGAACAUGUGGUUUAAUUCGACACUACGCGAGAAACCUUACCUGGGCUUGACAUGCUUUUGACAGUCGUAGAAAUACGAUCUUCUGAGCUUCGGUUCAGACAGAAGCACAGGUGCUGCAUGGCUGUCGUCAGCUCGUGUCGUGAGAUGUUUGGUUAAGUCCUCUAACGAGCGCAACCCCUGCCGUCAGUUGCUAUCUACCUUCGGGUAGAGCACUCUGAUGGGACUGCCUGGGAAACCAGGAGGAAGGUGGGGACGACGUCAAGUCAUCAUGGUCCUUAUGUCCAGGGCUACACACGUGUUACAAUGGCUGAUACAAAGGGGUGCGAUACCGCAAGGUGGAGCAAAUCCCAGAAAGUCAGUCUAAGUUCGGAUUGGGGUCUGCAACUCGACCCCAUGAAGUUGAAAUCGCUAGUAAUCGUAUAUCAUAACGAUACGGUGAAUACGUUCUCGGACCU
rnacentral:rRNA from 1 species